UACGUAGGUGGCAAGCGUUGUCCGGAAUUAUUGGGCGUAAAGCGCGCGCAGGCGGUCCUUUAAGUCUGAUGUGAAAGCCCACGGCUCAACCGUGGAGGGUCAUUGGAAACUGGGGGACUUGAGUACAGAAGAGAAGAGUGGAAUUCCACGUGUAGCGGUGAAAUGCGUAGAGAUGUGGAGGAACACCAGUGGCGAAGGCGACUCUUUGGUCUGUAACCGACGCUGAGGCGCGAAAGCGUGGGGAGCGAACGGG
rnacentral:rRNA from 1 species